rnacentral:rRNA from 1 species
CCUACGGGAGGCAGCAGUGGGGAAUUUUGGACAAUGGGCGCAAGCCUGAUCCAGCUAUUCCGCGUGUGGGAAGACGGCCUUCGGGUUGUAAACCACUUUUGUAGAGAACGAAAAGUCUAUCGCUAAUCCCGUUUGACGAUGACGGUACUUUAAGAAUAAGCACCGGCUAAUUACGUGCCAGCAGCCGCGGUAAUACGUAGGGUGCGAGCGUUAAUCGGAUUUAUUGGGCGGAAAGGGUGUGCAGGCGGUUUUGCAAGAUGGAUGUGAAAGCCCCGGGCUUAACCUGGGAAAGCCAUACAUGACUGCAAGCCUAGAGUGCGUCAGAGGGAGGUGGAAUUCCAAGUGUAGCAGUGAAAUGCGUAGAUAUUUGGAAGAACACCGAUGGCGAAGGCAGCCCCCUGGGACGCAACUGACGCUGAUGCACGAAAGCGUGGGGAGCAAACAGGAUUAGAUACCCUAGUAGUC